GACGAACGCUGGCGGCGUGCUUAACACAUGCAAGUCGAACGGAAAGGCCCUGCUUUUGUGGGGUGCUCGAGUGGCGAACGGGUGAGUAACACGUGAGUAACCUGCCCUUGACUUUGGGAUAACUUCAGGAAACUGGGGCUAAUACCGGAUAGGAGCUCCUGCUGCAUGGUGGGGGUUGGAAAGUUUCGGCGGUUGGGGAUGGACUCGCGGCUUAUCAGCUUGUUGGUGGGGUAGUGGCUUACCAAGGCUUUGACGGGUAGCCGGCCUGAGUGGGUGACCGGCCACAUUGGGACUGGGAUACGGCCCAGACUCCUACGGGAGGCAGCAGUGGGGAAUAUUGCACAAUGGGCGGAAGCCUGAUGCAGCAACUCCGCGUGCGGGAUGACGGCCUUCGGGUUGUAAACCGCUUUCGCCUGUGACGAAGCGUGAGUGACGGUAAUGGGUAAAGAAGCACCGGCUAACUACGUG
rnacentral:rRNA from 1 species